rnacentral:rRNA from 1 species
UACGGAGGGUGCAAGCGUUAUCCGGAUUCACUGGGUUUAAAGGGUGCGUAGGUGGGCAGGUAAGUCAGUGGUGAAAUCUCCGGGCUUAACCCGGAAACUGCCAUUGAUACUAUCUGUCUUGAAUACCGUGGAGGUGAGCGGAAUAUGUCAUGUAGCGGUGAAAUGCUUAGAUAUGACAUAGAACACCAAUUGCGAAGGCAGCUCACUACACAAUUAUUGACUCUGAGGCACGAAAGCGUGGGGAUCAAACAGG